UUUCACUCCUCUCCCUCUCCUCAGCCCCUGAUGAGGGAGGUCCUGGAGAAGAAGCCGAGCCUGUCCCAGGAGGAGGCCCGGGAUCUCCUGGAGCGCUGCCUGCGCAUCCUCUACUACAGGGACGCCAGAUCCUUCAACAGGUAUGAACUCGCCACCGUGACGGAGAAGGGGGUGCAGGUGGAGGGACCCCUGACCCUGGAAGCCAACUGGGACAUCGCCCACGUGGUCAGCGGCUUCGAGUGAACCCCGGGAGCUGCUCCAGGUCGUCGCGUCCUGCCCUUUGUAUCCCACCCUUUGGAUCCUCCUCCCUUUGGGAAUGUCCCAUCCGUGGUUUUGGGAAUAAAAACAAGGCCUUUUAA